rnacentral:rRNA from 1 species
CGAACGCUGGCGGCGCGCCUAAUACAUGCAAGUCGAGCGAGAAGGUGUAGCAAUACACUUGUAAAGCGGCGAACGGGUGAGGAAUACAUGGGUAAUCUACCAUCGAGUGGGGAAUAACCAGCCGAAAGGUUGGCUAAUACCGCGUACGCCUCCGGAUCUUCGGGUUCGGAGGGAAAGCUGCACUGUGAGUGUAGCGCUCUUUGAUGAGCUCAUGUCCUAUCAGCUUGUUGGUAGGGUAACGGCCUACCAAGGCUUUGACGGGUAGCUGGUCUGAGAGGACGGUCAGCCACACUGGCACUGCGACACGGGCCAGACUCCUACGGGAGGCAGCAGUAAGGAAUAUUGCGCAAUGGGCGAAAGCCUGACGCAGCGACGCCGCGUGGGGGAUGAAGGUCUUCGGAUUGUAAACCCCUUUCGGGAGGGAAGAUGGGGCGAGCAAUCGUUCGGACGGUACCUCCAGAAGCAGCCACGGCCAACUUCGU